UACGGAGGGUGCAAGCGUUAAUCGGAAUUACUGGGCGUAAAGCGCACGCAGGCGGUCUGUUAAGUCAGAUGUGAAAUCCCCGGGCUCAACCUGGGAACUGCAUUUGAAACUGGCAGGCUUGAGUCUCGUAGAGGGGGGUAGAAUUCCAGGUGUAGCGGUGAAAUGCGUAGAGAUCUGGAGGAAUACCGGUGGCGAAGGCGGCCCCCUGGACGAAGACUGACGCUCAGGUGCGAAAGCGUGGGGAGCGAUCCGG
rnacentral:rRNA from 1 species